UGCAGUCGAGCGAGUCUGCCUUGAAGAUCGGAGUGCUUGCACUCUGUGAAACAAGAUACAGGCUAGCGGCGGACGGGUGAGUAACACGUGGGUAACCUGCCCAAGAGAUCGGGAUAACACCUGGAAACAGAUGCUAAUACCGGAUAACAACAGAUGAUGCCUAUCAACUGUUUAAAAGAUGGUUCUGCUAUCACUCUUGGAUGGACCUGCGGUGCAUUAGCUAGUUGGUAGGGUAACGGCCUACCAAGGCGAUGAUGCAUAGCCGAGUUGAGAGACUGAUCGGCCACAUUGGGACUGAGACACGGCCCAAACUCCUACGGGAGGCAGCAGUAGGGAAUCUUCCACAAUGGACGCAAGUCUGAUGGAGCAACGCCGCGUGAGUGAAGAAGGGUUUCGGCUCGUAAAGCUCUGUUGUUGGUGAAGAAGGACAGGGGUAGUAACUGACCUUUGUUUGACGGUAAUCAAUUAGAAAGUCACGGCUAACUACGUGCCAGCAGCCGCGGUAAUACGUAGGUGGCAAGCGUUGUCCGGAUUUAUUGGGCGUAAAGCGAGUGCAGGCGGCUCGAUAAGUCUGAUGUGAAAGCCUUCGGCUCAACCGGAGAAUUGCAUCAGAAACUGUCGAGCUUGAGUACAGAAGAGGAGAGUGGAACUCCAUGUGUAGCGGUGAAAUGCGUAGAUAUAUGGAAGAACACCGGUGGCGAAGGCGGCUCUCUGGUCUGUUACUGACGCUGAGGCUCGAAAGCAUGGGUAGCGAACAGGAUUAGAUA
rnacentral:rRNA from 1 species